rnacentral:rRNA from 1 species
GACGAACGCUGGCGGCGUGCUUAACACAUGCAAGUCGAACGGAAAGGCCCUGCUUUUGUGGGGUGCUCGAGUGGCGAACGGGUGAGUAACACGUGAGUAACCUGCCCUUGACUUUGGGAUAACUUCAGGAAACUGGGGCUAAUACCGGAUAGGAGCUCCUGCUGCAUGGUGGGGGUUGGAAAGUUUCGGCGGUUGGGGAUGGACUCGCGGCUUAUCAGCUUGUUGGUGGGGUAGUGGCUUACCAAGGCUUUGACGGGUAGCCGGCCUGAGAGGGUGACCGGCCACAUUGGGACUGAGAUACGGCCCAGACUCCUACGGGAGGCAGCAGUGGAGAAUAUUGCACAAUGGGCGGAAGCCUGAUGCAGCAACGCCGCGUGCGGGAUGACGGCCUUCGUGUUGUAAACCGCUUUCGCCUGUGACGAAGCGUGAGUGACGGUAAUGGGUAAAGAAGCACCGGCUAACUACGUG